rnacentral:lncRNA from 1 species
AGUAGGGGGUUCAAUAUACCGCAGGGGGGUCAAAAUACCAUGGCUAAGUAAAAUUUUCAAAAUAUCUUUUCCAGUUUAUUAAAUACAUACAAACUACUUAUUGGAGUAUUAUAACUAUGUAAAGGAGUUAGAAUAGCUUGAAUUUUUGAAAUUCAAGGUCUAUAGUAGGGGGUUCAAUAUACCGCAGGGGGGGUCAAAAUACCAUGGCUAAGUAAAAUUUUCAAAAUAUCUUUUUCAGUAUAUUAAAUACAUACAAACUACUUAUUGGAGUAUUGUAACUAUGUUAAGGAGUUAGAAUAGCUUGAAUUUUUGAAAUUCAAGGUCUAUAGUAGGGGGUUCAAUAUACCGCAGGGGGGUCAAAAUACCAUGGCUAAGUAAAAUUUUCAAAAUAUCUUUUCCAGUAUAUCAAAUACAUACAAACUUCUUUUUGGAGUAUUAUAACUAUGUUAAGGAGUUAGAAUAGCUUGAAUUUUUGAAAUUCAAGGUCUAUAGUAGGGGUUUAAUAUACCACAGGGGGGUCAAAAUACCAUGGCUAAGUAAAAUUUUCAAAAUAUCUUUUCUAGUAUAUUAAAUACAUACAAACUACUUAUUGGAUUAUUAUAACUAUGUUAAGGAGUUAGAAUAGCUCAAAUUUCUGAAAUUCAAGGUCUAUUAUGUAGGGGGUUCAAUAUACUGCAGGGGGGUCAAAAUACCAUGGCUAAGUAAAAU